UAUAAGAUUCCAAGUGAGACCAAAUUGACUAAAGGACAAGUAUGUCGGGUAAUCUUUGAUGAUGUUAAGUGUGUUUUUCAGGAUUCGACCUCGGGGAGGAAGAUUUUGACUGCUAAAGAAUGGGAUGGACUCUACUACUUUGAAGGAAAAAAUAUGAAGACUGCAGGAGC